rnacentral:rRNA from 2 species
UAAUCCCGGAUCUGACCACAGCAUGCAUGUGUUGUGGUGGAAAAAUUUAUCGGUGCAGGAUGGGCCCGCGGCCUAUCAGCUUGUUGGUGGGGUAAUGGCCUACCAAGGCGACGACGGGUAGCCGACCUGAGAGGGUGACCGGCCACACUGGGACUGAGACACGGCCCAAACUCCUACGGGAGGCAGCAGUGGGGAAUAUUGCACAAUGGGCGGAAGCCUGAUGCAGCGACGCCGCGUGAGGGAUGAAGGCCUUCGGGUUGUAAACCUCUUUCAGCAGGGACGAAGCGUGAGUGACGGUACCUGCAGAAGAAGCACCGGCUAACUACGUGCCAGCAGCCGCGGUAAUACGUAGGGUGCGAGCGUUGUCCGGAAUUACUGGGCGUAAAGAGUUCGUAGGCGGUUUGUCGCGUCGUUUGUGAAAACCCGGGGCUCAACUUCGGGCUUGCAGGCGAUACGGGCAGACUUGAGUGUUUCAGGGGAGACUGGAAUUCCUGGUGUAGCGGUGAAAUGCGCAGAUAUCAGGAGGAACACCGGUGGCGAAGGCGGGUCUCUGGGAAACAACUGACGCUGAGGAACGAAAGCGUGGGUAGCAAACAGGAUUAGAUACCCUGGUAGUCCACGCCGUAAACGGUGGGCGCUAGGUGUGGGUUUCCUUCCACGGGAUCUGUGCCGUACCUAACGCAUUAAGCGCCCCGCCUGGGGAGUACGGCCGCAAGGCUAAAACUCAAAGGAAUUGACGG